rnacentral:rRNA from 1 species
AGAAUCAACGCUGGCGGCGUGCCUAACACAUGCAAGUCGAACGCGAAAUGGGAGCAAUCCCUGAGUAGAGUGGCAAACGGGUGAGUAACACGUGGGUGACCUGCCUUCGAGUGGGGGAUAACGUCCCGAAAGGGACGCUAAUACCGCAUGACAUCCUGUCCUUGGAAGGACGGAGAUCAAAGCUGGGGAUCGUAAGACCUGGCGCUUGAAGAGGGGCCCGCGCCUGAUUAGCUAGUUGGCGGGGUAACGGCUCACCAAGGCUACGAUCAGUA